UUCAAGCAGCAUAAGAACUUAUUUUUUCUCCCAUCAUCCACCCUGCCGUGUCUGAGAAAGACUUAAGUACACAUUACAAAAGGGCGAAAGACCAAUCGAACCAUCUAGUAGCUGGUUCCCUCUGAAGUUUCCCUCAGGAUAGCUUGCGCUCGGUUGAGACGAGUCUCAUCCGGUAGAGCGAGCGAAUGAUUAGAGGCUGAUAGAAGAUUCAAACUCCAAAUAGAUGAGAUCCCCGGCUUGCUGGAAAGUGAAGCCGCGGGAAUCGGAUCAGUGUGCAAAGUGGGCCAAUUUUGGUAAGCAGAACUGGCGCUGUGGGAUGAACCAAACGCAGAGUUAAGGCGCCUGAAUCGACGCUCAUGUGAAACCAUGAAAGGCGUUGGUUGCUUAAGACAGCAGGACGGUGGCCAUGGAAGUCGGAAUCCGCUAAGGAGUGUGUAACAACUAACCUGCCGAAGCAACUAGCCCUGAAAAUGGAUGGCACUGUAGCGUCGUGCCUAUACUCUGCCGUCAGAGGCAAAGCGGGCGGCUCUCGCGAGCGGCUCCGUUAUGCCCUGAUUCGUAAGAGGGUCGCGGCGAUGUGCGCAGAAGGGUCGGGGCGUGAGCCCGCCUGGAGCCGUCGCCUGUGCAGAUCUUGGUGGUAGUAGCAAAUACUCCAGCGAGGCACUGGAGGACUGAUGUGGAGAAGAGUUUCUUGUGAACAGCUGUUGCACAAGAGUCAGUCGAUCCUAAGCCCUAGGAGAAAUCCGAAGCGAUGGGUUGCCGUUAAGCUUACAUUGAAGGGUAGUGAGGACCUCCCCUCGCCGUCGAUCCCGACACGGGUUCACGGAAGGACUGGAGAAAAAGAGGAGCCGGUCAGGGGCUAGCGCCCGCAGCAGACGUCAGCGACCAGGUG
rnacentral:misc_RNA from 13 species